AGGUCACUGCUAUCAGUGUUCGACUAAGCCAUGCAAGUCAAAUGUUCUUCGUGAACAUGGCGGACUGCUCAGUAACACGUGGAUAACCUGCCCUUAGGAUUGGCAUAACACCGGGAAACUGGUGAUAAUACCGAAUAGACCAUUUAUGCUGGAAUGCUUAUUGGUUCAAAGGCUUUUAGCUGCCUAAGGAUGGAUCUGCGGCCUAUCAGGUAGUAGUGGGUGUAAUGUACCUACUAGCCUACGACGGGUACGGGUUGUGAGAGCAAGAGCCCGGAGAUGGAUUCUGAGACAUGAAUCCAGGCCCUACGGGGCGCAGCAGGCGCGAAAACUUUACAAUGCGGGAAACCGCGAUAAGGGGACACUGAGUGCCAGCAUAUUAUGUUGGCUGUCCACAUGUAUAAAAACCAUGUGUUAGCAAGGGCCGGGCAAGACCGGUGCCAGCCGCCGCGGUAAUACCGGCGGCCCGAGUGGUGAUCACUUUUAUUGGGUCUAAAGGGUCCGUAGCCGGUUUGACCAGUCCUCCGGGAAAUCUGACAGCUCAACUGUUAGGCUUCGGGGAUACUGUCAGACUUGGGACCGGGAGAGGUAAGAGGUACUACAGGGGUAGGAGUGAAAUCUUGUAAUCCCUGUGGGACCACCAGUGGCGAAGGCGUCUUACCAGAACGGGUCCGACGGUGAGGGACGAAAGCUGGGGGCACGAACCGGAUUAGAUACCCGGGUAGUCCCAGCCGUAAACGAUGCUCGCUAUGUGUCAGGGACGGUGCGACCGUUCCUGGUGCCGCAGGGAAGCCGUGAAGCGAGCCACCUGGGAAGUACGGCCGCAAGGCUGAAACUUAAAGGAAUUGGCGGGGGAGCACUACAACGGGUGGAGCCUGCGGUUUAAUUGGACUCAACGCCGGAAAACUCACCGGGGGCGACAGCAAUAUGUAGGUCAGGCUAAAGACCUUACCCGAAUCGCUGAGAGGAGGUGCAUGGCCCGUCGUCAGUUCGUACUGUGAAGCAUCCUGUUAAGUCAGGCAACGAGCGAGACCCGUGCCCACUGUUGCCAGCAUGUCCUUACCAGGAUGAUGGGGUACUCUGUGGGGACCGCCGCUGUUAAAGCG
rnacentral:rRNA from 1 species